AUUAGCUGUUUUCUAUCAGGUUAAGAAUAACUGUGAUCAUAUUAUAAUGAAGUAAUCGAAUUUGGUUAUCUGGUCUUCCUGAUGUUAGAACAUUUAUAUAAAAAACAUAUUUAAAAAACGUAUUUCUGUAACGUUUAAUUUCCUUUUUUGAUGAAAGUGUGUCUGUGUUCAUCAAGACAUGAAGACUAUGGAGUGGGACAAGAGAAGGAUGAUGGGGUAUAUAUUCCAAUAGACACAUUAAGUCACAUUGUGAUUUCAGUGAAAGCUGAUAAAUACAGAGGGCUGGACAGUGGUUUCAUUCAUUAGGUAAAGAGGUGGGACAAGGAUGCUGACAGGACAGGAGGAGGUGACAUUCAGGUUAGUGACAGUACAUCAGGGCCACCAUUUAAUUUAAUGUUAAUUUAAUUGCUUCCAAAAUCAAUACUUGACAAAUCUUUAGAAUUAUAUCUGCAAAGCUGAAUUUCUCAUAGGUGGAUAAAGUAUGACAGCAAUUGUGAAGACCUUAGACGUGCAGUAUAUGGUUCUUCUCUCUUUCAUUUAUAUUGAUUUGACUUAAUUUUCUUGGUAAAUAAUAAUGGGGAUAUUCCUAAUAUAAUAUAUUUUAAAUACAUGCUUAGAACAUAUCUCAUUUGCUUUGUAUCUAAAUGAAAAGUACCUCUUUAAGGUCUAAGCUAUGUUUCAUUUUAUUUAGACAUUCAACGCAGACAUUUUCAUCCAAAGCAACUUGAGGAAGAAAACAGAAGCAGUUCAUCCUAAAAGUGGGCUGCUGUAAUGUUUACAUCUAUGGAAAGAGGAGCUGAGAAGAAAAGAUAGGCUGGAAAGCAGUACUUCUUGUUGAGGACAAUCCUGAAUAGGAACACUUUCUCAUACACAUAGAUUAUUAUUAGUGUUUGAUUGUUUGUUUCAUUUUUAUGAAUUGUAUUGUUUUAAUUUUUCGUUUUAUUUGAAAUUACCUAAGUUAGAUUCAUGCUAAUACUUUAACUGGACCUUGUAUCUUUGCUGGCUGGCUGGCUGUAGAGUUGGUUUCACAUACACAUGAAGUUUCUAAUUAACUAACUUUUAAGUUCAGUUUGGUUUAAACUUGUAUUUACCCAUGGUAAUUCAUUUAAAUUUCUAUUCAUGCUUAUAUAUUAAUUUCAAUGAACUUCUGUAUUUGUGUAUAGCUGGCAAUUUGGGCAAGCUACGUUUAACACACAAAUGUAACUGUCACAAAGGUUUUUUUUAUUAUCAGUUUGUUCUAAACUUUUGUUUGUUUACUAAGGAUGAAAUUGCUUUGUAAUUUAGGUUGUUGGUAGAUUCAUGCCAAUAAUGUAUUUGAACAAACUAGUAUUUUUGUUUAUUGCUGGCAGUUUAUACUAGAAGAGUUUUAACACAUACAAUGUUGUAGUGUUAUUGACUUG